rnacentral:tRNA from 1 species
GCGCCAGUAGCUCAGCAGGAUCAGAGCAUGUGCCUUCUAAGCACAGGGUCGGGGGUUCGAGCCCCUCCUGGCGUGCCA